rnacentral:rRNA from 1 species
UCAUUUGUCUUUUAAAUGGAGACUUGUAUGAACGGCGAAACCUUUUUUAACUGUCUCCCACUCUGCCCUUCAAAACUCUUAUUUAUGUGAAGAAGCAUAAAUAUAUCAGAAAGACGAGAAGACCCUGUCGAGCUUCAGCCAAAAGACGAGUUAAAGAUCGCUAACAAACCCAAAUAUCGUCAAAAGGCUUUGGUUGGGGCAACCAUGGAGAAUAACAAUCCUCCAGAAUAAGCAGACGAAACCUCUUCCCUACUAAAAAUUAGAGAACCAGGAACUGGCAAUCGGAAAAAGUUACCGCAGGGAUAACAGCGUCAUCCCCUUUAAGAGUCCUUAUUGACAAGGGGGUUUGCGACCUCGAUGUUGGAUUGGGGCCCCCUUAGGGUGCAGAAGCUCUAAACGGUUAGACUGUUCGUCUAUUAAAGUCCU